UCUACGGGUGGCAGCAGUGAGGAAUAUUGGUCAAUGGGCUUACGCCUGAACCAGCAACGCCGCGUGAAGGAAGAAGGCUUUCGGGUUGUAAACUUCUUUUGUCAGGGAAGAGUAGAAGACGGUACCUGACGAAUAAGCCACGGCUAACUACGUGCCAGCAGCCGCGGUAAUACGUAGGUGGCAAGCGUUGUCCGGAUUUACUGGGUGUAAAGGGCGUGUAGCCGGGUUGACAAGUCAGAUGUGAAAUCCUGCGGCUUAACCGCAGAACUGCAUUUGAAACUGUUGAUCUUGAGUACUGGAGAGGCAGACGGAAUUCCUAGUGUAGCGGUGAAAUGCGUAGAUAUUAGGAGGAACACCAGUGGCGAAGGCGGUCUGCUGGACAGCAACUGACGGUGAGGCGCGAAAGCGUGGGGAGCAAACAGGAUUAGAUACCCGGGUAGUC
rnacentral:rRNA from 1 species